UCCUCGCACCCUCGCCCGGGCCGGACCCGGGCCGGCACGGGUGGAGUAACACGUAUGGAACCGUACGCCCGCCCACCACGGGGAGGUAACCCGGGGAAACCCCGGGACCCGUAACUACCCACUGCCGCCCGGACCGGGCAUCCGGACCGGGCGAAAGGAGGAAUCCGGUGGCGGCUGGGCAUGCGGCGCAUUAGCUUGUUGGCGGGGCAACGGCCCACCAAGGCGACGAUGCGUAGGGGUUCUGAGAGGAAGGUCCCCCACACUGGAACUGAGACACGGUCCAGACUCCUACGGAAGGCAGCAG
rnacentral:rRNA from 1 species